UCGGCCGGCACCAUAUAUAUACGUCCAAUGUUUCCACUCGAACCCCUUUUGAUGGUGCACCAGCUCACGGGACUCAGACGUAUCAAACAAACAAACAAACAAAAAGAACGGAGGUCGUGAUUGGUCUCCAGAGCAACUUCUUUUGGAAGGAAAGAUCACAUCAAUUAAUCACAGGUGGAUGAUUUGAUUGCCACACACCACAUGCGUUGUGUUUUCAGGCUUCAAGCUAAAGGUGCUGUAAGUGAUGGGUUUUUUUAUGGCAUAAAAUGUCUCUACCGCCUGACAGCUAUCACUGAAAUAGGCGUCCUGGGAAAUCCCACCUGUUUGACAGCACUAAACUCUGGAAACAGCAAACUGGAAUCUGAUGGCAGGUCACUGUUACUUAUCCGAUGGAAUUUACAGCUGUGAGAUGAAGGUGGAUAGCAAAUGAAGACUCUCCUUAGAUGUUUGUUCUGAGGAAAAUACUAGAAAAUAUCAGAAAAUAUCUCAACAAUGUCACCAAAUGUCUGCAGUCUACAAUCAUAUGGUAAGAUCUUGGUAUCAAACUUCAACGAUUGUCACAUUUGUUGCUGUUUUUUUAUGUCUAUGCACUUAUGAUUUCUUUCAACAUGGGGACAAGAGAGGUAUCAGUCUAUAAAUGGGAAAUUUGAUCAAAUAAAUUUAGAGUUGAUGAGCAUACGAUGAGAUUUCCCACUUGCCAUCCCGAAACUUUUGAAUAGAAGUGAAUAUUCAAUACUUUUCCAUGAUCAUGACUUUUUGUUUUUGGAUUGGUGG